CAGUAGCCGCGGUAAUACGUAGGGUGCGAGCGUUAAUCGGAAUUACUGGGCGUAAAGCGUGCGCAGGCGGUUUUGUAAGACAGGCGUGAAAUCCCCGGGCUCAACCUGGGAAUGGCGCUUGUGACUGCAAAGCUAGAGUGCGGCAGAGGGGGAUGGAAUUCCGCGUGUAGCAGUGAAAUGCGUAGAUAUGCGGAGGAACACCGAUGGCGAAGGCAAUCCCCUGGGCCUGCACUGACGCUCAUGCACGAAAGCGUGGGGAGCAAACAGGAUUAGAUACCCCCGUAGUCCCUGUCUCUUAUAC
rnacentral:rRNA from 1 species